UGUUGGCAUGAGUAGCGAGAUGUGGGUGAGAAUCCCACAGGCCGUAAACCCAAGGUUUCCAGGGGAAGGUUCGUCCGCCCUGGGUUAGUCGGGACCUAAGCUGAGUCCGAAAGGCGUAGGUGAUGGACAACAGGUUGAUAUUCCUGUACUACCGAUAACCGUUUGAGAGAAGGGAUGACACAGUAGGAUAAGCUAAGCACACUG
rnacentral:rRNA from 1 species